GAUUAAGUUAUUAAGGGCGCACGGUGGAUGCCUUGGCACUAGAAGCCGAUGAAGGACGUUACUAACGACGAUAUGCUUUGGGGAGCUGUAAGUAAGCUUUGAUCCAGAGAUUUCCGAAUGGGGAAACCCAGCAUGAGUUAUGUCAUGUUAUCGAUAUGUGAAUACAUAGCAUAUCAGAAGGCACACCCGGAGAACUGAAACAUCUUAGUACCCGGAGGAAGAGAAAGAAAAUUCGAUUCCCUUAGUAGCGGCGAGCGAAACGGGAAGAGCCCAAACCAACAAGCUUGCUUGUUGGGGUUGUAGGACACUCUAUACGGAGUUACAAAGGACGACAUUAGACGAAUCAUCUGGAAAGAUGAAUCAAAGAAGGUAAUAAUCCUGUAGUCGAAAAUGUUGUCUCUCUUGAGUGGAUCCUGAGUACGACGGAGCACGUGAAAUUCCGUCGGAAUCUGGGAGGACCAUCUCCUAAGGCUAAAUACUCUCUAGUGACCGAUAGUGAACCAGUACCGUGAGGGAAAGGUGAAAAGCACCCCGGAAGGGGAGUGAAAUAGAACCUGAAACCGUGUGCUUACAAGUAGUCAGAGCCCGUUAAUGGGUGAUGGCGUGCCUUUUGUAGAAUGAACCGGCGAGUUACGAUUUGAUGCAAGGUUAAGCAGUAAAUGUGGAGCCGUAGCGAAAGCGAGUCUGAAUAGGGCGUUUAGUAUUUGGUCGUAGACCCGAAACCAGGUGAUCUACCCUUGGUCAGGUUGAAGUUCAGGUAACACUGAAUGGAGGACCGAACCGACUUACGUUGAAAAGUGAGCGGAUGAACUGAGGGUAGCGGAGAAAUUCCAAUCGAACCUGGAGAUAGCUGGUUCUCUCCGAAAUAGCUUUAGGGCUAGCCUCAAGUGAUGAUUAUUG
rnacentral:rRNA from 1 species